rnacentral:rRNA from 1 species
UACGUAGGGUGCGAGCGUUGUCCGGAAUUAUUGGGCGUAAAGAGCUCGUAGGCGGUGUGUCGCGUCGGCCGUGAAAACCUGGGGCUCAACUCUGGGCGUGCGGUCGAUACGGGCAUCACUAGAGUUCGGCAGGGGAGACUGGAAUUCCUGGUGUAGCGGUGAAAUGCGCAGAUAUCAGGAGGAACACCGGUGGCGAAGGCGGGUCUCUGGGAAUAUCCUGACGCUGAGGAGCGAAAGUGUGGGGAGCGAACAGG